rnacentral:rRNA from 1 species
AGCUUGCUUCUAUGACGUUAGCGGCGGACGGGUGAGUAACACGUGGGCAACCUGCCUGUAAGACUGGGAUAACUUCGGGAAACCGAAGCUAAUACCGGAUAGGAUCUUCUCCUUCAUGGGAGAUGAUUGAAAGAUGGUUUCGGCUAUCACUUACAGAUGGGCCCGCGGUGCAUUAGCUAGUUGGUGAGGUAACGGCUCACCAAGGCAACGAUGCAUAGCCGACCUGAGAGGGUGAUCGGCCACACUGGGACUGAGACACGGCCCAGACUCCUACGGGAGGCAGCAGUAGGGAAUCUUCCGCAAUGGACGAAAGUCUGACGGAGCAACGCCGCGUGAGUGAUGAAGGCUUUCGGGUCGUAAAACUCUGUUGUUAGGGAAGAACAAGUACGAGAGUAACUGCUCGUACCUUGACGGUACCUAACCAGAAAGCCACGGCUAACUACGUGCCAGCAGCCGCGGUAAUACGUAGGUGGCAAGCGUUAUCCGGAAUUAUUGGGCGUAAAGCGCGCGCAGGCGGUUUCUUAAGUCUGAUGUGAAAGCCCACGGCUCAACCGUGGAGGGUCAUUGGAAACUGGGGAACUUGAGUGCAGA